AUGAUGGGCCUCCUCACUGCCGUUAGCCUUUUUUCACAGCUUUUCCUCAACGUCUUACCCACGGCCCCCAGCUGCAGAGGUCGGAGCCUUCCACGUUUUCACUGAAAGCACCAACCCGCUGGCAUGUUUGCGCGUCCCAGUGUACAUGACAAUAUGAACUAGGAGUACAAGGCUCUGUUCUCCUUUCUAGGCUCCUCGGCUGUCCUGCUGGUUGUUUUGGGGAGUGUUGCGUUUGUCGUCAUGGCUCUGUGCUCUUACUUUCUGUGUAAGUAAUACUGGGAAGUAUACUGGGCUUCACCCAGUGUCAUGGUUUAACCUGGCCGGCAGCUAAACACCACACAGCUGUUCGCUCACCCUCCCCCCUCCCUGUCUGGCAUGGGGGAGAGAAAUGUGAAAGUGAAGCUCGUGAGUUGCGAUAAAGACAGUUUCUUAAGACAGGAAAAUCAUAAUAACGAUAAUGAUUAUAAUAGUACUACUACUAGUAAUGUGUACAAACUAGUGAUGCACAAUGCAAUUGCUCACCAGCCGCUGACCGAUGCCCAGCCGAACCCCGAGCAGUCUGGCCCCCCCCCGGCUAGCCACCCCUAUCUAUUGUUCAGCAUGACCCCAGAUGGCAUGGAAUACCCCUUUGACCAGUUUGGGUCAGCUGUCCUCGGUCUGUCCCUUCCCAGCUCCUGCUGCACCCCCAGCCUGCCCUCUGGCAGGACAGUGCAAGAAGCUGAGACAUCCUUGGCUUGGUGUAAGCACUGCUCUGCAACAAUUAAAACAUCGGGGUGUCAUCAGCACUCUUCUCACCCUAACCCAAAACACAGCAUUCCACCAGCUAUUAGGAAGAAAAUUAACUCUGUCCUAACUGAAACCAGGACAUCCAGAUAUCACCUCAGGCCUUAUCGCAGCAGUGGCCUGAGCUGUAUCCUGCCUUGCUGUGAGGACUCUGGCUCUCCAGCAACAUGGCCAGGCCCUCACCUGCCCUGCGCUGCGUCCUCUGCUGACACCUCGCUGCAUCCCUUGUGGGCUCGGCCAAGCGUGGGUCACCUGGACCAGAAGGGACUCAUGUGGGUGGCACUGCAUCAGGCCGCUGCUCUCCCCUGCUGUCACGAGGAGGAGCAUGACAGGAGGCCGAAAGCUCCUCCAUGGCCUGGUAGAGUACUAGGUAGAAGACUGCCGUGUCUAUCAGCAGUUGGUGUGAUACGGGGUUCAGCCUUUGGGCUGCAAGGAGGUGCAGAGCAGGCUGUUAUAGUUGGGCAAAUCCAUCAGGAAAAUCCUUCUGCUA
rnacentral:lncRNA from 1 species